GAUGAACGCUGGCGGCGUGCCUAAUACAUGCAAGUCGAGCGAACGGACGAGAAGCUUGCUUCUCUGAUGUUAUCGGCGGACGGGUGAGUAACACGUGGAUAACCUACCUAUAAGACUGGGAUAACUUCGGGAAACCGGAGCUAAUACCGGAUGAUAUUUUGAACCGCAUGGUUCAAAAGUGAAAGACGGUCUUGCUGUCACUUAUAGAUGGAUCCGCGCUGCAUUAGCUAGUUGGUAAGGUAACGGCUUACCAAGGCAACGAUGCAUAGCCGACCUGAGAGGGUGGUCGGCCACACUGGAACUGAGACACGGUCCAGACUCCUACGGGAGGCAGCAGUAGGGAAUCUUCCGCAAUGGGCGAAAGCCUGACGGAGCAACGCCGCGUGAGUGAUGAAGGUCUUCGGAUCGUAAAACUCUGUUAUUAGGGAAGAACAUAUGUGUAAGUAACUGUGCACAUCUUGACGGUACCUAAUCAGAAAGCCACGGCUAACUACGUG
rnacentral:rRNA from 1 species